rnacentral:rRNA from 1 species
UACGGGGGGAGCAAGCGUUGUUCGGAUUUACUGGGCGUAAAGGGCGCGUAGGCGGCCACCGCAAGUCGGUUGUGAAAUCUCCGGGCUUAACCCGGAAAGGUCAAUCGAUACUGCGGGGCUAGAGUGCAGAAGGGGCAACUGGAAUUCUCGGUGUAGCGGUGAAAUGCGUAGAUAUCGAGAGGAACACCUGCGGCGAAGGCGGGUUGCUGGGCUGACACGUGACGCUGAGGCGCGAAAGCCAGGGGAGCGAACGGG